UACAGAGGUGGCAAGCGUUGUUCGGAAUUACUGGGCGUAAAGGGCGCGUAGGUGGCCUUCUUAGUCAGACGUGAAAUCCCCGGGCUUAACUCGGGAACUGCGUCUGAUACUGGAAGGCUGGAGUUCGGGAGAGGAAUGUGGAAUUCCAGGUGUAGCGGUGAAAUGCGUAGAUAUCUGGAGGAACACCGGUGGCGAAGGCGGCAUUCUGGACCGAAACUGGCGCUGAGGCGCGAAAGCCAGGGGAGCAAACGGG
rnacentral:rRNA from 1 species